rnacentral:lncRNA from 1 species
AAUGGACUGACUUGCAGGGGACACCGCCCCAUCAGGAAAGAAAGGCGGCCUUACUCGCCUCCUCCCCAGCAAGAGAAACCCAAGGUCCUGUGUCCUGGAGCAGCAGAAGCCAGCUCUCCUCCCCAUCCCUGCUUGCCUCCAGCCCUCUUGGCCUUCUGGAUCCCUGUGGGUUUGGAGAGGCCGAUGCUGUGGCUCUUACCAACAUCAAUUUGCAGCCACCAGGAUGCAACUUCACCCUAUGCUGCGUUCAUAAAUUAAUCUCCUGGGAUUAGAUUCCGUGUUUUAGUAACACUCCCGAGGCAUUGUAUUUACACAUUACUAAUAAAAGAAAAAAGUGAGACAAGUUCUGACAACUUUCAAUAACAUUCAGAAGUAAAGUGUGAGGUGCAGAAGUGUCCAAAGUUAAUUAAGACCAUUUGGUGCUGACGGGGGUGGGGAGUGGUGCCUGCCGUUCCCCGACAGGUGCUAUUUCUGAAACCCAAUUUCCCUGCCUGUGAUGUACCUGAUGCCUGCAGAACAGGAGAUACUGAAAUAAACUGAACUAGCAGCUUGAGCUCGAA